rnacentral:rRNA from 1 species
UACGGAGGGGGUUAGCGUUGUUCGGAAUGACUGGGCGUAAAGCGCGCGUAGGCGGAUCGGAAAGUUGGGGGUGAAAUCCCAGGGCUCAACCUUGGAACUGCCUUUGAAACUAUCAGUCUGGAGUUCGAGAGAGGUGAGUGGAAUUCCGAGUGUAGAGGUGAAAUUCGUAGAUAUUCGGAGGAACACCAGUGGCGAAGGCGGCUCACUGGCUCGAUACUGACGCUGAGGUGCGAAAGCGUGGGGAGCAAACAGG